rnacentral:rRNA from 1 species
UACGGAGGGUGCAAGCGUUGUUCGGAAUUAUUGGGCGUAAAGCGCACGUAGGCGGCCUGAUAAGUCGGGUGUGAAAGCCCUGGGCUCAACCCAGGAAGUGCACUCGAAACUGUCAGGCUUGAAUAUGGAAGAGGGUCGCGGAAUUCCCGGUGUAGAGGUGAAAUUCGUAGAUAUCGGGAGGAACACCAGUGGCGAAGGCGGCGACCUGGGCCAAUAUUGACGCUGAGGUGCGAAAGCGUGGGGAGCAAACAGG